GAUGAACGCUAGCGGCAGGCCUAAUGCAUGCAAGUCGAACGGUGUAGCAAUACACAGUGGCGCACGGGUGCGUAACACGUAUGCAACCUACCUAUUAUUGGGGGAUAGCCUUUGGAAACGGAGAUUAAUACCGCAUAAGACAGUAACAUGGCAUCAUGUAGCUGUUAAAGCUUCGGCGAUGAUAGAUGGGCAUGCGUCCAAUUAGUUAGUUGGUGAGGUAAUGGCUCACCAAGACGAUGAUUGGUAGGGGAUCUGAGAGGAUAAUCCCCCACACUGGCACUGAGAUACGGGCCAGACUCCUACGGGAGGCAGCAGUAGGGAAUAUUGGGCAAUGGACGGAAGUCUGACCCAGCCAUGCCGCGUGCAGGAUGACGGCGUUAUGCGUUGUAAACUGCUUUUUUAUAGGAAGAAGGAGACCUUGCGAGGUUUGGUGACGGUACUAUAAGAAUAAGCACCGGCUAACUCCGUGCCAGCCGCCGCGGUAACAC
rnacentral:rRNA from 1 species